rnacentral:tRNA from 1 species
GGGGAAAUGCUGGAAUUGGCAGACAGGCAUGACUUAGGAUCAUGUGCGGAAACGCGUGAGAGUUCGAGCCUCUCUUUCCCCACAA